AGGGUUUGAUCAUGGCUCAGAACGUACGCUGGCGGCACGCCUAACACAUGCAAGUCGAACGAAGUAGCAAUACUUAGUGGCAGACGGGUGAGUAACAUGUAGGUAUCUGCCCUUUGGCCUGGAAUAACACGAGGAAACUUGUGCUAAUACUGGAUAAGUCUUUACGGAGAAAGCUUUAUGCACCAUUGGAUGAGCCCGCACUUGAUUAGUUUGUUGGUGGGGUAAUGGCCUACCAAGACUGUGAUCAAUAGCUGAUUUGAGAGGAUGAUCAGCCACAUUGGGACUGAGACACGGCCCAAACUCCUACGGGAGGCAGCAGUGGGGAAUCUUGCACAAUGGAGGAAACUCUGAUGCAGCGAUGCCGCGUGAGUGAAGAAGGCCUUUGGGUUGUAAAGCUCUUUCGUCGGGGAAGAAAAUGACUGUACCCGAAUAAGAAGGUCCGGCUAACUUCGUGCCAGCAGCCGCGGUAAUACGAAGGGACCUAGCGUAGUUCGGAAUUACUGGGCUUAAAGAGUUCGUAGGUGGUUGAAAAAGUUGGUGGUGAAAUCCCAGAGCUUAACUCUGGAACUGCCAUCAAAACUUUUCAGCUAGAGUAUGAUAGAGGAAAGCAGAAUUUCUAGUGUAGAGGUGAAAUUCGUAGAUAUUAGAAAGAAUACCAAUUGCGAAGGCAGCUUUCUGGAUCAUUACUGACACUGAGGAACGAAAGCAUGGGUAGCGAAGAGGAUUAGAUACCCUCGUAGUCCAUGCCGUAAACGAUGUGUGUUAGACGUUGGAAAUUUAUUUUCAGUGUCGCAGCGAAAGCGAUAAACACACCGCCUGGGGAGUACGACCGCAAGGUUAAAACUCAAAUGAAUUGACGGGGACCCGCACAAGUAGUGGAGCAUGUGGUUUAAUUCGAAGAUACGCGCAGAACCUUACCAACACUUGACAUGUUCGUCGCGACUUUAAGAGAUUAAAGUUUUCGGUUCGGCCGGACGAAACACAGGUGCUGCAUGGCUGUCGUCAGCUCGUGUCGUGAGAUGUUGGGUUAAGUCCCGCAACGAGCGCAACCCUCACUUUUAGUUGCCAUCAUUAAGUUGGGCACUCUGAAAGAACUGCCAGUGAUAAGCUGGAGGAAGGUGGGGAUGACGUCAAGUCCUCAUGGCCCUUACGUGUUGGGCUACACACGUGCUACAAUGGUAUCUACAACAGGAAGCAAGACGGCGACGUCAAGCAAAUCCUUAAAAGAUACCUCAGUUCGGAUUGCACUCUGCAACUCGAGUGCAUGAAGCUGGAAUUACUAGUAAUCGUGGAUCAGCGUGCCACGGUGAAUGCGUUCCCGGGUCUUGUACACACCGCCCGUCACACCAUGGGAGUUGGUUCUACCUUAAGGCAAGGUUUAAAACCCUUGACCACGGUAUAGUCAGCGACUGGGGUGAAGUCGUAACAAGGUAGCCGUA
rnacentral:rRNA from 1 species